ensembl:miRNA
CCUUGGCGAUCUUGUUAAAAUGCAGAUUCUGAUUCCGCAGGGAGGGGCUUGAGUUCUGCAUUCCUAACAAGCUUCCAAGGGAUGCUGAUGCU